rnacentral:tRNA from 1 species
GGAAGUGUGCUCGAGAGGCCUAUGAGGGCUGUUUGCUAAACAGCUGGCCGUCGCAAGACGGCCCGGGGGUUCGAAUCCCUCCACUUCCG